UUCAGAAAGCUCCAUUGAAAAAAAUAAUAAUUAAUUUACAACUGCAGAAAACCUGAUUCAUGUUCUUGCUGUUGCACUUUUUCAUAUGGGAACCUGAUUCAUUUUAAUGGUCGAUCAAAAAUUUUCAUGGAUCCUUGGGUGAAUCAAGAGGAAGGAACAGAAGAAUCCAAAAGAUUUAGCCACAGCCAUGUGGUGGGAAGGCAUCCAUGUGCAUGAUGCAGCACGAACAAGCUUUUCAAGCUUGUUUAUGUUGAAGAAUUAAUCGCCAUGAAGAUCCUGUUCCAGUGCCCUUGCUGUUCCUGCUUCUGCUUCUUGGACAGAGACAGAGACAGAGACAGAGAAACAGAGGAGGAGGAUCGAUGAGGAGGAGAAGGAAGAUCGAAAUGAUCGAGUGAGUUGCUGGCGUUUCUUCUUCUUCCUCUUCUUCAUCUCCUCACCUCAACUCUCGCGUUCAUCUGUAAAAUGGUUGCAAAUUAAAUAAAGUUUGAAUUGUUAAGA